UUUCUACCUACCUGAGGCCUUCUAAGACAUUACAGCAGGUUUGUCAGUACCUAUUGAUCCAAUACGAGGCUGAAGGUGAAAGUUUACUGGAUCGUACCGUGACAAGAUGUGGUGUCACCACAAGCUGGAGUCAAAAUGGCAGUACGUGGAAUGGCAACACGUGAAUUCCCCGUUAAAGAAAAAAAAUCAAGAUGCAGCUAUAAGCUCCAUUAUUCAGUCUCCAGAGUUUCCCCUUCUGCCAUAUGAGCUCAGCUCUUUCCAGCUCUUCCAUGGAAGAGACAAGGACUGAUCAAGUGACUAAAAAUGACCGAGGGGGAUGGCCAGGUGGUGCAGAAUUAGCAGAAGCAAAGUGGCUGAUAGCUACAUGAGCCAGUGGGGAUGAAGACAAGAUAGUUGAGGGGUAUAUCAGUAUUUCGUGGUGGCUUCAGGAUGUGAUGCUUGCACCAAAGCUCAUUGAAGGAAUGGUGAAUAUGUGGCUUGAUCUUCUGAUGAAUUCACUUUCUGUCACUCUUCUUUCUGUGUUUACUUUCUACAAAUAUUCAAGAAUAUUCUGGGUGGGAUUUUUGCUGAAAUCUUACAAUAUUUUCAGAAAGACAUCACAGCUCGUAAUCAUCAAAUCUUGGAAGCAGUUGGGCUCCAUAUUUGUCCGAGUAAAUUUCAGAUACAAAAAUCUUAAACAACAUCCCAGUUCAUUUUGAAUUAAGAACAAGCAAAAGUCUGUUCCAGAGCUAGAAGCAAAUAGAAUGUGACUGUGUGAGAUAAAGAAGUUACGCUGAAAUAUUUGCACAAAAAUGUCUCUGAAUACAAUUUGUGUGCAGACACGUGAAUAAAGACAGGACAUCAAUGACUUGGCUUUCAGAUAUUUCCUUGGAGAUUCUUACUGAAGUAUUUAACUUUUUCAGGCAGAAGGAGAUUGUGCCAAAUAACUUUUUAAACAGACAGCACAGAUAUGUUCAAAAUAAGCAGUAAAAUUACCUAGUCAAGGAAAAAAAUCUAGGUGAAUUAUAAUAAUGGAAAUAGUAAAGUUGCUUCAGGAGCAAUAGGUCUUAUCACAGUAUAGUUGAACGUGCUGUGCUAGAGUCUCCCCAUUCAAUUACUUAGGCUAUUCACUUGCCAUAACUAAGAAGACUGAAAAUUACCAUCUGUCUCCACAUGCUGUUGUGCCCUACAGCAAUGGCAGAGACUGUGAUCAUGUUUAUAUGUAUAGAUGUAUAACGGAGGCUUGGUAUACUCACCAUUUGUGGUUUUCAGUCUCUUCUGUCUGAAAACAUUACUCUGAUUGCAAUUAGUGUCUUCUGGAUCAUCUUGGAGGAAGAUGAGGGGAGCUGAAGAACUCACUAAUACCCCCAUUCAGCUCUUCUUUUCUUUUGGCUACUUUGUUAAAUAGAAACCUUUGAA